AUGAAGGCCCCCCGGGUGCAUGCUGGUUGCUCGCUGCUUGCUGGGUGCUCGCCAGGUGCUCGCCGGGUGCUCACUGGGUGCACGCCAGGUGCUUGCUGGGUGCACGCUGCUUGCUGGGUGCUCGCUGGGUACACGCUGCUCGCUGGGUGCACACUGCGUGCACGCUGGGUGCACGCUGGGUGCUCGCUGGGUGCUCGCUGGGUGCUCGCUGGGUGCACGCUGGGUGCUCGCUGGGUGCUCGCUGGGUGUUCGCUGGGUGCUCGCUGGGUGCAUGCUGGGUGUUCGCUGGGUGCUCGCUGGGUGCAUGCUGGGUGCUCGCUGGGUGCAUGCUGUGUGCUCGCUGGGUGCUCGCUGGGUGCAUGCUGGGUGCUCGCUGGGUGCUCGCUGGGUGCACGCUGGGUGCUCGCUGGGUGCUCACUGGGUGCUCACUGGGUGCACGCUGGGUGCAUGCUGGGUGCUCGCUGGGUGCACGCUGGGUGCACGCUGGGUGCUCGCUGGGUGCUCGCUGGGUGCAUGCUGUGUGCUCGCUGGGUGCUCGCUGGGUGCUCGCUGGGUGCAUGCUGGGUGCUCGCUGGGUGCUCGCUGGGUGCAUGCUGUGUGCUCGCUGGGUGCUCGCUGGGUGCUCGCUGGGUGCAUGCUGGGUGCUCGCUGGGUGCUCGCUGGGUGCAUGCUGCGUGCUCGCUGGGUGCUCGCUGGGUGCUCGCUGGGUGCAUGCUGGGUGCUCGCUGGGUGCUCGCUGGGUGCAUGCUGUGUGCUCGCUGGGUGCUCGCUGGGUGCUCGCUGGGUGCAUGCUGGGUGCUCGCUGGGUGCUCGCUGGGUGCAUGCUGCGUGCUCGCUGGGUGCUCGCUGGGUGCUCGCUGGGUGCUCGCUGGGUGCAUGCUGGGUGCAUGCGCACAGGCCCGCCCUGCCCGUCCCGUGCUCCUUUGCACUCCGUUCUCGGCCAGCAGCCAGGAGCUCGCCCAGGUACGCAUGCCACCCCCUCCACGCCUGCCCCCACCUUGCCUCUCUCCGCUCCACGGACACAGCUGUCCUCCCGCCUCUCGCGUUGCCCCCCACCGCCGUCCCCCUGACCCCUGCAGGGUGGCCAGGACACUUCGGCGUUCUCUGCAAAUGUCCUGCUGCCUGAAAAAAGGCCUUGACCGGGCACCCGCCCCACGGGAACCGCCCCUUUCCCACGACUCCACUCAGCGCAGCACUGCCGGGCCCUAUGUGCACAGACACAUGGUGUGUGUUUCCUGGUUGGCGGGUCCCUGGCGGUCUCCCAGCUCCAGGCCUCGUUGUCUGCGAGUCCCCCCAUGGGCUCCCCGCUGUCUGGCCCGGCGAGUGCUCCGUAAAUGUCACAGCUCUUCUUCCACAAAUAUUUGCUGA
rnacentral:lncRNA from 1 species